rnacentral:rRNA from 1 species
GACGAACGCUGGCGGCGUGCUUAACACAUGCAAGUCGAACGGGAUUUAGUAAACAGAAACCUCGGUGGAAGAUUACUACUGAGAGUGGCGAACGGGUGAGUAACGCGUGAGCAACCUGCCUAUGACAGUGGGAUAGCCUCGGGAAACCGGGAUUAAUACCGCAUAAAAUCGUAGAAACACAUGUUUUAACGGUCAAAGAUUUAUCGGUCAUAGAUGGGCUCGCGUCUGAUUAGCUAGUUGGUGAGAUAACAGCCCACCAAGGCGACGAUCAGUAGCCGGUCUGAGAGGAUGAACGGCCACAUUGGAACUGAGACACGGUCCAAACUCCGACGGGAGGCAGCAGUGGGGAAUAUUGCACAAUGGGGGAAACCCUGAUGCAGCGACGCGGCGUGAACGAAGAAGGUAUUCGUAUCGUAAAGUUCUGUCCUAUGGGAAGAUAAUGACAGUACCAUAGAAGAAAGCUCCGGCUAAAUACGUG